GUGGAGGACCGAACCCACAUCCGUUGAAAAGGGUGGGGAUGAGGUGUGGAUAGGGGAGAAAUUCCAAUCGAACCCGGAGAUAGCUGGUUCUCCUCGAAAUAGCUUUAGGGCUAGCCUCGUAUUAGUCUAGUGGAGGUAGAGCACUGAAUUUCCUAGGGGGCGUCAAAGCUUACCGAAGAAUAUCAAACUCCGAAUGCCAUAUAGAUGAUGUACGGGAGUCAGACUGCACGAGAUAAGUUGGGCAGUCAAAAGGGAAAGAGCCCAGACCGCCAGCUAAGGUCCCAAAGUGUGUGUUAAGUGGAAAAGGAUGUGGGAUUUCGAAGACAACUAGGAUGUUGGCUCAGAAGCAGCCAUACAUUAAAAGAGUGCGUAAUAGCUCACUAGUCGAGAGGUCCUGCGCCGAAAAUGUCCGGGGCUGAAACACAACACCGAAGCUGCGGAACCCGCAAGGGUUGGUAGAGGAGCAUUCUUAAAGGAACGAAGCAGUACCGUAAGGAGCUGUGGACUUUUAAGAAGAGAGAAUGCCGGAAUGAGUAGCGAGAGUAAGGUGAGAAUCCUUACGGCCGAAUAUCCAAGGUUUCCAGGGUAAAGCUGAUCUGCCCUGGGGAAGUCGGGACCUAAGGCGAGGCCGAGAGGCGUAGCCGAUGGACAACAGGUUGAGAUUCCUGUACUACAGUAUGACAGAACUGUGGGGACGCAGAAGGAGAGCACUACCUGGAAUGGAAUCCAGGGGCAAGCACAGGAGGGGUACGGCUGGAAAAACCGCCGUGCAACCCAAAGGUGUGACGCAUACCGAACUAAAGUAGGGAAAUGUGUGAGCCGGCUGCCGAGAAAAGCCGCUAUUGUUUGUACUGUACCCGUACCGUAAACCGACACAGGUGGAUGAGGAGAGAAUCCUAAGGCCGACGGAAGAAGCAUUGCUAAGGAACUCGGCAAAAUGACCCUGUAACUUCGGGAGAAAGGGUGCCUCGAAAGAGGCCGCAGAGAAUAGGCCCAAGCAACUGUUUAGCAAAAACACAGGUCUAUGCAAAACCGCAAGGUGAAGUAUAUGGGCUGACGCCUGCCCGGUGCUGGAAGGUUAAGGGGAGAUGUCAGGAGACGAAGCAUCGAACUUAAGCCCCAGUAAACGGCGGCCGUAACUAUAACGGUCCUAAGGUAGCGAAAUUCCUUGUCGGGUAAGUUCCGACCCGCACGAAAGGCGUAAUGAUUUGGGCGCUGUCUCGGCAAUGCAUCCGGUGAAAUUGAAGUGCCAGUGAAGAUGCUGGCUACCCGCGCCAGGACGGAAAGACCCCAUGGAGCUUUACUCCAGCUUGAUACUGGGAUUCGGUAUUGUAUGUACAGGAUAGGUGGGAGGCUGAGAAAUGGUGACGCCAGUCGCCAUGGAGCCGCUGUUGGGAUACCACCCUUGCAGUACUGGAUUUCUAACCAGCAGCCGUUAACCGGCUGGGGGACAAUGUCAGGUGGGGAGUUUGACUGGGGCGGUCGCCUCCGAAAGGGUAUCGGAGGCGCUCAAAGGUUCCCUCAGAAUGGUCGGAAACCAUUCGAAGAGUGCAAAGGCAGAAGGGAGCUUGACUGCGACACCGACGGGUGGGGCAGGUACGAAAGUAGGACUUAGUG
rnacentral:rRNA from 1 species